UUUCUUUCUGCUUUCCUAUUUUAAACAGAUUUGUUAUUCUUGCAGAGCUGUUAAGCCAUUUUAAGGGAUGCCAAGGUGUCCUCUGACCUCUGAGUAAGGAGUGGUCCUUGCUGGUAGUCCUUUAUACCAUCUGCCAUGAAGUAUGAGAUCCAAAAUCCACUCUUUUCUCCUGAAAAUAUCCAUUAGAUUCAGAGAACAGUUGAUCAAGGGGGAGAGGAGGGGAGAUGGUGUGUUUCUUCACCAGUAGCUGGAAAACAAGGAGGAUGGAUAGAUUGUGUGUCAGGAUUGCUGGGAAAACCAUUUGUGCCUGCUGACUUCAAGGUUUGCUGCUCUGGAGCGUGGACCCAGCCUGAAAGCAUCCAAGGAGGCAGAGGACAGAUGUGCUGCUUACUGGAGCUCAUUAGGAAAUGCC
rnacentral:lncRNA from 1 species